rnacentral:rRNA from 1 species
AGCGUCGGGCCCAUACCCGGCCGUCGCCGGCGAGGACAGCCACGGGGGCUACGCCGCGACGAGUAGGAGGGCCGCCGCGGUGAGCACGGAAGCCUAGGGCGUGGGCCCGGGUGGAGNCCGCCGCG